rnacentral:rRNA from 1 species
UACGUAGGGGGCUAGCGUUGUCCGGAAUCAUUGGGCGUAAAGCGCGUGUAGGCGGUCCGGUAAGUCUGCUGUGAAAGUCGGGGGCUCAACCCUCGAAUGCCGGUGGAUACUGUCGGGCUAGAGUGCGGAAGAGGCGAGUGGAAUUCCUGGUGUAGGCGGUGAAAUGCGCAGAUAUCAGGAGGAACACCUAUUGCGAAGGCAGCUCGCUGGGACGUAACUGACGCUGAGACGCGAAAGCGUGGGGAGCAAACAGG